rnacentral:rRNA from 1 species
UACGAUGAAGAGUUUGAUCCUGGCUCAGGAUGAACGCUAGCGGCAGGCUUAACACAUGCAAGUCGAGGGGUAGAAGGGGCUUGCUCCUUCGAGACCGGCGCACGGGUGCGUAACGCGUAUGCAAUCUGCCUCUCACUGGGGGAUAGCCCGGAGAAAUCCGGAUUAAUACCCCAUGGUAUUUUGGAAUGGCAUCAUUCUAUUAUUAAAGAUUUAUCGGUGAGAGAUGAGCAUGCGUCCCAUUAGUUAGUUGGUAAGGUAACGGCUUACCAAGACGAU